CAAAGAAUCAAGGGGAGCGAAAUUGCUGAGAGUUAACGCUGAGAUGCGUUAAGACCCUAAACCUGAUUGGAUAAUGCCAGCAUAGGGAUGUAUUUUGACGAGUAG
rnacentral:ncRNA from 1 species